UACGUAGGGUGCAAGCGUUGUCCGGAAUUAUUGGGCGUAAAGAGCUCGUAGGCGGCCUGUCGCGUCGGCUGUGAAAACUGGGGGCUCAACCCCCAGCCUGCAGUGGGUACGGGCAGACUAGAGUGCGGUAGGGGAGAUUGGAAUUCCUGGUGUAGCGGUGGAAUGCGCAGAUAUCAGGAGGAACACCGAUGGCGAAGGCAGGUCUCUGGGCCAUUACUGACGCUGAGAAGCGAAAGCAUGGGGAGCGAACAGG
rnacentral:rRNA from 1 species